rnacentral:rRNA from 1 species
UUCCGUAGGGGAACCUGUGGAGGGAUCAUUACCGAGUUUACAACUCCCAAACCCCUGUGAACAUACCACUUGUUGCCUCGGCGGAUCAGCCCGCUCCCGGUAAAACGGGACGGCCCGCCAGAGGACCCCUAAACUCUGUUUCUAUAUGUAACUUCUGAGUAAAACCAUAAAUAAAUCAAAACUUUCAACAACGGAUCUCUUGGUUCUGGCAUCGAUGAAGAACGCAGCAAAAUGCGAUAAGUAAUGUGAAUUGCAGAAUUCAGUGAAUCAUCGAAUCUUUGAACGCACAUUGCGCCCGCCAGUAUUCUGGCGGGCAUGCCUGUUCGAGCGUCAUUUCAACCCUCAAGCACAGCUUGGUGUUGGGACUCGCGUUAAUUCGCGUUCCUCAAAUUGAUUGGCGGUCACGUCGAGCUUCCAUAGCGUAGUAGUAAAACCCUCGUUACUGGUAAUCGUCGCGGCCACGCCGUUAAACCCCAACUUCUGAAUGUGACCUCGGAUCAGGUAGAAAGCCAAGUUC